UUUGUGCUGUGGGACCCAGACUGCACCCAGUGCAGGAGAUGAGGCCGCACAGCACAGAGCAGAGGGGACAGCCCCUCCCCUCACCCAGUGGCAGCGCUGGGCCUGGUGCCCCCCAGUGUGUAGUUGGCCCUCCUGGUGUCAGGGCACACUGCUGGCUCCUGUACAACUUACUGCCAGCCAGAGCCCCCAUCCCUUUCAGUGGGGCUGCUGUCCAGCAACUCACUCCCAGCCUGUAUGUACAGCCAGGGCUGCUCCUCCCCUGGCACAGAAUCCGGCACUGCUCUUAUGAUGAUGUAAUAAUCCCUGUCCUCAGGUUUUUCUGGAGCGGAACCAGGGUCUCCUAGGAAGGGAAAGUGGAAUCUGUAGAUCCAGUGAUAAUAACUGUCCUUUCCUGGCAGGGAUUUACUGUGUGCUUAUCCCUUUUCUCUGCAGAAUAAGAAAAUGACCUGGAUGUGAAGGAGUGUCACCCACAAGUAGAGGCAUUCCUCAAAACUCUGCAGCCCAGUUCAGGGUACUGUCUACUGCUCUACAGCUGCUUUUGACCUUGCAUUUGUAGCAAAGGGCUAAGAGAUCAAGGGAAGCCAAAUGGAAUCUACUUUCCUGUUGUUGAUGAGAGAGAAAGCAAGGGAAAACAAAACUAAGAAAGGAUGGAAGGGAUGAAGGACUUGACAAUCUGACUCUGAGCCCUACCUUCAGACUACUGCCUGACCUUAGGCAAACUGUAUUACAGGUGGAAAGUGUUUCCUAGGAGCUAGGCAUUUAUUAUAUUGCUUUUUUAGAUAUGUAUUCCAAAAAAAAAAAAAAAAAAAAACCCCACCAAAGUAUGAGAAAAUAAAGGGUUACAAAACAAAGAGUAGAAAAGCACCAACAAAUAUUGUCUCAAACCUUCCCUUUCAAGCAACACAUAAAAAAGCAAUUGAGACUACAAUGGAUAAAUCCUCCUCUGACAGCAGGCCAAUCAGACAGAGAGCCGUUCUCUGAAUCCCAGCCUAUUUCAUGCCAUGCAAAAUCACUGCGGGAAAAGACUGACAAGGCUCAGACAGCUCAUAGCACUGUACCUUUGCUCAUGGCAGCAAUGCCAGCCAAUUGCUAGCGUCUUGGUGUCUGGCCAAAGCAGAUGGCAGACAACUGUCUGAAGCUGGGACCUGGGAAAAUGGGGAUAACAUCAGGAAAAAAACAAAAACAUCUUACAUACCUACUACUCCCACCUCAUCCCACUCUGGGGACAUGCCUGCUCACUGUGGACUGAGUCAGUGGCUGCUGCUGUGGUCCUCUGGUGCUCUGCAUAGUUACUGCAUACUUGCAGACCUGCAGCAGUUAGCACAUCUCCUACCUCCCGCGCACAAGGACUUUCCAGCCAAGGCCACAGACCAGCGCCUCCCUGGUGGGUCAGAGAGUUGAGAUGAAGCAACAGUACCCACUCGGGAAACUUUGCUGGCUCUGAAAAUCUUCCUGACCUUUUGUUGGAUCUUAGGUUACCGUGACAUAUCUGUCCGGAUCUGGGUUUUGAUUCUCCAUUCCAUAGCACUAUUCCAAGCUGGCUGGGGUAGCACCUUGCCCUCAGAAAAGACCUCAUCUGAAUGCUCCAUUCCCAGGGAGAAGAAUGGGUCAGUGGUUGUGUUUUGAGGGUGAGGAGAUGGAAAGGAUGUUUGAGGUCACUGGCUGCAGAGGGGAGCUGCAGGGCUGGUGAUGAUGAUUGGGAAUCUUAUUAUUUCUUCCCUCCCAGUUUCUAUCUCCAUGCAGAUAUUUGCAGCUCUCCCCACCCAGCUGUGCCAUCUCUCAACCUCGACCUUCCCAGCACUCCCCAGGCAGGUCCUGGCCCUUCACUGUGGUGUGGCAAAAUUCAAUCUUGCCUACGCAGCUGAAAAACUUUGGCUCUUCAUAAUAACACCAGCUUGCCUGCAGGGAAUAAGGUGGAAGCUGGACCACGUCAAGGCCUUUUAUAUCCUGCAAAGGUAAAUGCUUGGGAUGGAAACUGAGAUGUACUCAGCUGGUGAAAGCUUCUACCAAGCUCUUGGCAUUGACACUCUCCUCCCAUCAGAAAGACAAUACAAAUACAAACAGUUCUGGAUGAGCUGAAACUGAAGUGUGGAGCUUUUCUGGAGCAUAUUAAAAGAAAAGCCUGCUCAGACAUACCGUGGGAACUAAAGAGGCGUACGUGUCCAGCAACAGUUUGCUUCAUAGUGGAGACUGUGCAUGCAGGUCACAUUUCCCUCUGCAGUCAUCUUCUGGAUUGUGUUUAUCUAUGUGUCAGAAGUGAAAACACAGACAUAAGAACAUAAGAACACUUAACGUUUUCUUUUUUUUUUUCAU